UGGCAAAGCCUUCUAUGUGAACUCAGUGC
rnacentral:piRNA from 1 species